rnacentral:lncRNA from 1 species
AAUAGGAUAAGUCUUACCAUUUUAUUGAUCUGUUUGAAUUUAUUUUAAAAAAAUAUUUGAAACGAACCAAUUACAAAAUGGUACAUAUGUGUUGUCAAAAAAUUGUCAAAAAAAAAAAAAAAUUAUUAAAGAGAGUUUUUCCCUUUUCUUAUAAACUACAUAACGUGAUAUUUAAAGUACGUGGUGUAAGUCAGAUCCACAAUUCACUAACAAAAAACCAAGAUAAAAAAUUUAACUAAUCAAACCCUAGAAUAAAAAAAUAAUCAC